GUCCACGCCGUAAACGAUGAGUGCUAGGUGUGGGGGGUGUCGACUCCCUCCGUGCCGAAGCUAACGCAUUAAGCACUCCGCCUGGGGAGUACGGCCGCAAGGCUAAAACUCAAAGGAAUUGACGGGGGCCCCGCACAAGCAGCGGAGCAUGUGGUUUAAUUCGACGCGACGCGAAGAACCUUACCAAGGCUUGACAUCUACUGGAAAAGCGUGGAAACACGUUCCCUCUUCGGAGCUAGUAGACAGGUGGUGCAUGGCUGUCGU
rnacentral:rRNA from 1 species